rnacentral:rRNA from 1 species
GACGAACGCUGGCGGCGUGCCUAAUACAUGCAAGUAGGACGCAGUUGCGAACGGGUGAGUAACGCUUAGGUAACUACACAUUAGAGGGGGAUAACCAUUGGAAACGAUCGCUAAUACCGCAUACUAGCAGUUGGACCUGCGUUGUAUUAGCUAGUUGAUAGGGUAAUGGCCUACCUAGGCAACGAUACAUAGCCGACAGGAGAAGGUGAUCGGCCAAACUGGGACUGAGACACGGCCCAGACUCCUACGGGAGGAAGAAGUAGGGAAACUUCGGCAAUGGGGGGAACCCUGACCGAGCAAGGCCGCGUGAGUGAGGAAGGUUUUCGGAUCGUAAAGCUAUGUUGUUAAGGAAGCGGUACUUAACCAGAAAGGGACGGAUAACUACGUGCCAGCAGCCGCGGUAAUAC